CGCCAAUGCUAAGGACCGGCCCUGCCCGCAGCACCGCUCAGACUAUUACCUGUAGAGGAGGUCGCUCUGCUGUCAGGAAAAGCAGUUUUGAAUUCUGGGGUUUGACGGUUUUUGACCGACAGCUGAAGCAAUCUGACGACUUAACCUGGGAUUGAGAAGACCCUGUCCUUACAAUCCGAUCCUGAGAUAUUCUCCAACCUGAAGAUAGGUUUCAGACAUCGUGAAAUGAUGAUGAAAACAGGAACUUUGCCUUAACCGAAGUAUUGCUGUUAUCCUCUGCAGGACAUGAGCAGAAUGAAGGGCUGUGAAUGGCCUCCUGUGAUUUGAGGAACGAGCCUUGACCUCCUUGAGUAAUAUGAAACAGAAGCACAAAGACAAGUUGGACUCCUUUAUGAUACAUUUUCAGGAGAAUCUCUAAUUAAGUCAGAUUCAAUAGUGUGAUUUUGUAUUACUUUUUUUGUUUGAAUUCUUGUGUUGUUAAUUAAGCAUGGCGCGUUUCCACUGCAGGCCUCGCUCGGCCUUGCUCGGCCUUGCUCGGCCUCGCUCGGUUUGGUU